rnacentral:rRNA from 1 species
UGGGGAAUUUUGCACAAUGGGGGGAACCUUGAUGCAGCGACGCCGCGUGAGGGAUGGAGGCCUUCGGGUUGUGAACCUCUUUCGCUCGUGUGCAAGCCGCUAUUUGGGUAGUGGUGAGUGUAGCGGGUAAAGAAGCGCCGGCUAACUACGUGCCAGCAGCCGCGGUAAUACGUAGGGCGCGAGCGUUGUCCGGAUUUAUUGGGCGUAAAGGGCUUGUAGGCGGUUUGUCGCGCCUGUCGUGUAAUCCUCUGGCUUAACUGGGGGUGUGCGGUGGGUACGGGCAGGCUUGAGUGCGGUAGGGGAGAUUGGAAUUCCUGGUGUAGCGGUGGAAUGCGCAGAUAUCAGGAGGAACGCCGGUGGCGAAGGCGGGUCUCUGGGCCGUUACUGACGCUGAGGAGCGAAAGCGUGGGGAGCGAACAGG